GCGUGUGCGCGUAGCUUUGGGUGCCAAAACUUUGAAAAUUUUUCMUUUCCGUUUUUUCAUCAGUUGAAGUCUCCUUCUUUACACAAAACCCCGCCUUGGUAACAACUUGUUCGUUUUAACUUGAUGGCGUCUCAAACGGAUUUUUCGGAACUAAAAGAGUUUUUAGCGAAAGUAAAUUUAGAGGAUUACCUCGAGGAAUUUACCAAACAAAAGGUUAGUUUUAAGCUUCACUUAUUCAACAAUUAGUUAGUAAUUGAAACCCCGGCACUCUGAACGUUGGGAUACUUUAUAUUUCUGGAUUUAGAUAUUGUCAGUUUGAUGAUAGAAGCAAAAAUUGACAUUUCCAUCUGCAAAGGCAGGAAGGCUGAAGUUAACUGAGUGGCAUUUGGUCAGAAUAUUAAUGAAUAGGCGACUUGCACUAAGCGAUUACGUGAUUAAAUCCGCCAUUGUGGCUGGCUAGCGCAACAAUUUGCGCUGUWAGACAACACACAAGAAUAGCGUUGUAUGUGAUUUUUCUCGAGAAAGUUAUAAAGAGAGAUUUAAAAAGGGUCAAGAUUUUCAAUAAACCUCGCUGAUUUGGGGUCAUAACACCGAGAAUUACGAUCGUAAUGAGAUCUCAACAUCGAAAAUGGCUUGUCGUUUACGGGUCAAGAAAUGCCUUUUUUUUUACCUUUUCAUGCCAAAUUAGAACCAAUAAACAACAGAUAAAAGCUACCAAAAGAAUUUUUUWWAAAAAAGGAGUGUGAUUGCAGGGUUGCGUUACUUAGGAGGGGAAAACCCGCCUCCGCCAUCUUCGUUCACAUUCUUGACAUACAUAAAAUUGUUGCGCUAGCCAGCCACAAUGGCGGAUUUGAUUACGUGAUCGCUGAGUAGCCUCGCUUCCAAGAAUAAAGCAUGCUUCCGAAUUAAAUAUGGAUUUCUAGUGUUAAUGUUUUUUAUACACGGUUAAUCAUCCGUAUAACACUAGGAUGUUUUUUGAAGUUUCAACUGGAACUAAUAUACAUUUCAUCUGUCUUUUACACUGACUGAACCUAAAUUCGAGCAAAUUACAUGUAACUGCACUAUGAAAAAAAAAGCAAUGUKUGUCUUACUAGUAUCUGUACAGGUAAUAUUUAUGACAAUAGGAAAUGUAUAAAUAUUAAUAUGGUUUUUAUUUUUCAGUUUCAAAAGAUUUCAGACCUUCAGCUGCUCUUGGAUCUUGAAGAUAAUUCCUGGGUGUUCCAAAAAAUUAACUUG